rnacentral:rRNA from 1 species
UGCCAGCAGCCGCGGUAAUACGGAGGGGGUUAGCGUUGUUCGGAAUUACUGGGCGUAAAGCGUACGUAGGCGGAUCAGAAAGUAGGGGGUGAAAUCCCAGGGCUCAACCCUGGAACUGCCUCCUAAUACUGCUGGUCUAGAGAUCGAGAGAGGUGAGUGGAAUUCCGAGUGUAGAGGUGAAAUUCGUAGAUAUUCGGAGGAACACCAGUGGCGAAGGCGGCUCACUGGCUCGAUACUGACGCUGAGGUGCGAAAGCGUGGGGAGCAAACAGGAUUAGAUA